CUUUCAGCCACUCGCUCCGCGCAGUCAGCUCUGCUGACUCUUCCGGAGGAUUCUGGAAGGUUCCAGAGGGUGUGCCGCCGAGGCCCUGCGAGAGGGCGUUCCCUGGGGAGAACAUUCCAGAGCAAGAGGUCCAUACAAGCUCUGGGCUCAGCCAGAGCAGGGCAGAGAAGGGUCACAGGAUGAAGAGGACAGAGGGCAGAGAGACGACCGGAUGGGAUGACCAGCUGCAGAGAGGAGUACCCUCUCCACUGAGAACAGCAGAAGGCAAGACAACCUGUCCACAGAGAGGAGCUACCCUCUCUGCUGAGAGCUUCAGAGACCUGCAGAGACAUCUGAAUGACCUGCCUGCAGAGAGCAGCUUCCCUCUCUGGGGCCUCCUCUCUGCUGAAAGCUGAACACUCGAGAGACGACCUGCCUACGAGAGGAGCCACCCACUCCUCUGAGCUGUUCUGACACUAAAUACAACUUUUCUUCUUCACGCUUCACUUGUCUGCGUACCUCAUUCUUCCUAGACGCAGGACAAGAGCUCUGGCAAAGGCGCUGCAGCCACAGAGGUUUCCGGCCGGAAAAAUCGGCACCCCAGAGAUCCCAUGAGAACGUCACGUACAGCACUGAGACGGAGCCCUAAUGAAAACUGUGGCUCUGGGUGAUAAUGACGUUACUGUGGGUUCAUCAACUGUAGCAAAUUCGCCCUCUGCUGGGCGUUGUUGGAAAUGCAGAGGCUCUGGGGGGUCAGGUAUGUGGGAGCUCUCUGUACCUUUCUUGUAAUUUGAUGUGAACUUAAAGCUGCUCCAAAAAGAUAAAAUCUUGAAGAAAAGCGAAAAAAAAAAAAAGGAAGAGAGGAAAAAAUGACAGGCAGAAGGUCACGCCUGGCCCCUCAGUGCGCGUCCUCAGGCCUCUGCUCCCAGCUGGGGCUGGCAGGUGGUCGGGGGGGCACCCAGCUCCUCCACUCCCCACGCCCACCACAGCUUUCAAAGUUAGGAACACAGGCAGGGUGGAGGUGAAGUCCGAACAGAAAGAGGAGACUUAAGGGAGGGCGAGCCCUGACUUUGUUUCGUUUUUCCGAGGCGACAUUCGGUGCAGCUUUCUGGGUCCCCAAGGCUGACCCUGCUGCACCAUGAACCACACGUCCACACCCUCACUGUCUCCCGCUCAUGACAUCAGCUCACCUGAGACUGUCACCGAAGGCUCUUUAACGUGAAAUGAGUGGUUUUAACUAUUUUUAAGUACACAGUUGUGUGGCAUUAAGUGCAUUCACUAUGAUGUGUGGCCAUCACCAUCGUCCACCCUAGAACCCCUUCAUUUUCCCCAACAAAUUCUGUCCCUUUAAGCAAGUGCUCCCCAUCCCCCACCCCCUUCUACCUUCUGUCUCUGUGAAUCUGAUGACCGUCAGUCUCUGAGCACAGCCAUACCAUCGUGGGCCUUUUGUGUCUGGCUUACUUCACCGAGCAUAAUGUCCUCAGGGUUUAUCCGCAUUGUGGCAGGUGCCAGAAUCCCCUUCCUUUUUUAAAGGCUGAAUAAUGCUUUACCGUAUGGAUAGACCACAUUUUGUUUAUGCGUUCAUCCGUUAUCGGACGCUUGGGUUGGACCAUGUUUAGUGGGUGUGAAUAAGGCUGCCCUAAACACGGGUGCACAGGCAUCUGCCCAAGUCCCUGCUCUCAGUUCUUUUUGAGAAAUACCCAAAAGUGAAAUUGCUGGGUCAUAUGGCAGUUCUAUUUUUAAGGUUUUGAGGAGCCGCCACACUGUCUUCCCCAGCGGCUGCCCUGUUUUACAUCCCCUCAAGCAAUGUAAAGGGUCCCGGUGUCCCCACAUCCUCCAGUUUCUCCACAUCCCGAGCACUUGCUGUCUUCUAUUUUUGAUACUUGUUACCCUAAUGGCUGUGAGGUGGCACCUCAUUGUGGUUUUGAUUUGAAUUUCCCUAAUGACCUGUGAUAGUGAGCAUCUUUUCAUGGGUUUAUUGGCCAUUUGUAUGUCUUCUCUGAAGAAAUUGUCUAUUCAAGUCCUUUGACCAUUUUUGAAUCGAGCUGUUUGUUUUUUUGUUGUUGAGUUGUGGGGGUUCUUUAUACAUUACUGAAGGCUUAUUUUUAUGGUCCAAUAAUUCUUUAUAGCACUGGGUGCUCGCUAGCCAGAUGCCGUGAUUAUUUAUGGCCUGGGACUGCGGGUACACAUGUCUCCAUUUGGAGGCUCAGCCAACGUUUCUAGGUCUGUUAACUUGAAUUCAUCUUUUAAAUUGAAAAAAAGAUUUAUUUUCCUCCUUAUAACAGUCAAAUCUCCGCCUUUCGUGUUUCCAGGGCCAAGUACUAUCUGGGGGUAAAAUGUUAAAGCUCAGUGAGAAAUCCCUGGAUACACGGAGGUUACAUUUCAAAGGCCAGACCCCUGGUGAGAGCAGAAUAAUAGUGUCAUAAAUGGCGAUGUUGUAUUGUGCAGUUGAUAAAUUGAGUAAAUAUUUGCUAAAAGCCAGGAAACCCCCACAGCAAUAAGGACAAAUGAUGUUCAUCAAAAUGGCAGCCGUUUACUCAAGAAUUAGGCAGAACCCACGGCGGGAUGGACACUUGGACGUGCUCUCGGGACGGGCUGGCUAGGAAAGCUACAGCUGCAGAUGGAGCUGGGAACCUCGCCCUGCCCUGAAACCCAAGGGAAAAUCAGACUCCGAGGCACCGGUCGCCCUAAACCACCACAGAUGGGGUUUCCACCUUCCUAGGAAUAAGAGUGGAAUAUGCACCUGGGGGUGCAGCUUCGCCUUCCGCACAACAAGGGUCAGCGCCAAUGUUUCCCUGAGAUUCUCAGAGACCCAGAGCGCUGCCACCAGCGGCCUCCUGCCUCCCUGGAGCUCUUACCUCCCGCUCCCUCUCUCCGUCCAGGUGCUUACUUCUGGGAACUAAUCACUCAGUUUGUCUGAUUUUUUACUUUUAAAUCUCUUUCAAACCAUUGGUGCCUUUGCAGCUUCUUGUAGCCACCGUCAGAGCCAGGCAGCAGGGGAGGAGGAGGCUUGGACUGUGGUGCAGAAAACCCCGUCCAGCCUCACUUGCCUUGGGAAGGCUUUGAAAGGAUCAUUUAUACACUGGAGGAUUCCAUGAAGACUUUUUUUGGCCACCCUGAGUGGUUCAAGGUUCACCCUGUCUCUGUGAGGCUCGGCCUUGCCUUCUUUCAUCAAAAGAAAAACAGAAGCCAAGGCUGAGGCCUUGCUGACCGGUCCCUCCCGAGUCCCUUCCUAACUGGAAACGAUGAUUCAGUCCAGAACUCCGCCUGCUCAGUCCCUGCUGUAAACUUCGUGGCUCUCUUUAAGUGCUGCUAGAUGCCAAGCCAGGGAGACAGCCUGUAUCAUCAGUGCAGUCGCCCUGGGGGUGACACCAGGGAUGAUUAUGUAAAUUCUCAUAAAACCCACAGGCAAGUUUUGCUGCGGCCCGGCCUCCGGAGUCCUCCUGGUUGUAAGGGAAAGCACGAACUUGAGCGUGAAGACUCCAAAGCAGAAAAAAAGCAGAGCUCAGGAGGAAGCCUGCAGGGAAGGCCAAACCCUCCUGUGUGUGGAGCGGAGGUCAGGCUGGGGCGGGCGGCCACAGCUCCCCACCCUGGCCGCACCCCAGCCUGCAGAUCUGACAGAUGCAGGCCCCACUGCACCUGACAGUGCCGUGCUCAAAUUGCUCACUCAGCAAUGACAUAUUGGUGACCUGCCGGCAGCAGGCACUGUGGACAACACGUGGGGAGCACUGAGCAGGGCUACCUGCAGACGGCCUGGAAGCUCACCUUGGGCCGACUGGCAGCAGGUCACAUGGCCUCUCUUAAUUAAUCUAAUUUCCCACAAGGCAGCCGGGGGUUAUUCCAGGCAAACCUGAAUUCCUGCGUGGAACCUCAGGUGCCAACACCUGCACAUGUAAGCGGUGUCCAGGCUGCACCCUGGAGCCCAACCCUGGACCCCUUUGGGAUGGUGAGACCCUGGGCCUCACCCUUCUCACCUCUGAGUGAGGCUUCUCCCCUGACCCUGUUCCUUGUACCCCACCCAGAUGUUUUGGUAUUUUUCUGUACCCACAUCUCCACACACACAGUGGCACUUCUCACCAAGGACUUGUAAUCACAGAAAGCGAUGGACAGAGGCAGACGCAGCAAGGGUGAUGGGAGCUGGCGGAGAAGAUGGUCCAGGGUGCAGGGGCACCACAGAGGUUGUGACAUCACCUCAGGGUCCAAGACGUGCUUCCUAGGGGCCCCCUGGCGGUCUCCAGGAUGAGGGGUGGGCAGUGUGGGAGACCCCCAGGCAAAGGAGUGGCAGACAUUGACAGAAAGGAGUGGCAGACAUUGACAGUGGAAGGUCUGCGGGGAUGUGGGGGAGGUGCGCCGGGUGGGGAGGGGCCGCAGGCAAGGCCACAGUGUCCGGAUGGUCCUGUGAAGGAAGGGAGCCCCCAAACACAUUCACGUAGGGCAGUGCUGUGGGCAGAUGCAAAUUUUCAGAGUGUUCGCUGGAGAUGGAGGGGGCCGGACCACCCCCAAGUCUCAGGAGAAGUCACAGGGGAGGAGACUCUGGGACUCUGGGUUCAGGUAAAUACUUCGGGUUUGGCGUUGAUGCUCCUUUUGGGCAAUCUGUAGACUGAGUGACACCUGUCUCCCUGUCCACUCCCCUCCUACCCUUGUGAUUAUCCAUCAGUAUUUAUGGGCCUGGCUGGUCAGACCAAGCAGGCCACAGCACAGCAUGGAGCUCUAGGCCUCUGUGCGUCUCUGGUGUUUGGAUCCUAGGACCUGAAGGUCCAGGGGAGAAGUCGUCUGGGGGGUUGGGAGGCUCAGGGAAGAGGCUGCUUCCUGCUGUGGACUUGAUUAGCAGCCCCAUGGACAGUCACUGGACUGUUAGCGAGGCAGGAGUCCAGAGGAGCCAGGGUGACACCAUUUUAAAAUCAGCACCGUCUUAAACUAGCAAGGCACACUCCUUGCCACACACAAGCCAUGGUCCUAAGAUGUUUACAGCUAAGGAAGCAGCUUGGUGAUGCCUGCAAAGCAAACUCCAAGAACAGAAAGUCCAGACGUCCAAUACCCAUAAUUAGGUCUAUGCUUUCAAGAUAGUAAGAGUCAUGCUAUGAUGACUGACACACUAAAAUGUCAAGGAUGGUUUUCUUUAAACCAAUAGAAUGAUAAACCUUGUCAUGCUCUCUGCUCAGCUGCACAUAUGCACAGCUUCACUUCGCUUUGCAGACAAGACUUCUGUGUAAGAAAAAUGGAAAAAGAAGUUGGUGUGUCCUCUGCUUGCUUUCUGCUCUGUAACAGAGUCAUUUCUAAUAAACGUG
rnacentral:lncRNA from 1 species